AUACAGAGGGUGCGAGCGUUAAUCGGAGUCACUGGGCGUAAAGCGUCCGUAGGCGGUCGGGUAAGUCGGGUGUGAAAGCCCCGGGCUCAACCUGGGAAGUGCACCCGAUACUGCUCGACUCGAGUGCGGGAGAGGAUGGCGGAAUUCCCGGUGUAGCGGUGAAAUGCGUAGAGAUCGGGAGGAACACCAGUGGCGAAGGCGGCCAUCUGGCCCGCAACUGACGCUGAGGGACGAAAGCGUGGGGAGCAAACAGGAUUAGAUACCCCAGUAGUCC
rnacentral:rRNA from 1 species